rnacentral:rRNA from 1 species
CCGGCUAAUUCUGUGCCAGCAGCCGGGGUAAAACGGAGGGUGCAAGCGUUUUUUGGAAUUACUGGGGGUAAAGCGCGGGUGGGGGGUUUGUUAAGUUGGAUGUGAAAUUCCCGGGCUCAACCUGGGAAAUGCCUUCAAAACUGGCAAGCUAGAGUACGGGAGAGGGUGGUGGAAUUUCCGGGGUAGCGGUGAAAUUGGUAGAUAUUUGGAAGAACACCAGUGGCGAAGGCGACCUUCUGGCCUAAUACUGACGUUGAGGUGGGAAAGCUUGGGGAGCAAACCGGAUUAGAUACCCUGGUAGUCCCCCCCGUAAAC